UACGGAAGAUGCGAGCGUUAUCCGGAUUUAUUGGGUUUAAAGGGAGCGUAGGCGGGUUCUUAAGUCUGCGGUAAAAUGUCGGCGCUCAACGCCGGCCUGCCGUGGAAACUGGGGACCUUGAAUGUGCACAAGGAAGGUGGAAUUCGUGGUGUAGCGGUGAAAUGCUUAGAUAUCACGAAGAACUCCGAUUGCGAAGGCAGCCUUCUGGGGCAUGAUUGACGCUGAGGCUCGAAAGCGCGGGAAUCAAACA
rnacentral:rRNA from 1 species